rnacentral:rRNA from 1 species
CAUUAAUUGAUUUAAUGAUAAAGGAUGUUUGCUUAACCUUUAUGUUGGCUGUUGUUAUUAUCAAUAACUACUGCCUACUGUAAGGAGCGGUAGGAAAAUAAUGAUAUUCCCAUCCUAUAAGUGUUGUCUAAAGACUGGUGCCAGAAGACUCGGUAAGGCCAGAAACGCUAACGUUAAUAGUCUUGAUCAGGCGUAAAGGGUUCGUAGGCAUCUCUGUAUAAAAAAGGACCCUUUUUAAUUAGCUUUCUUAAUAUAUCUCCCCCACUCCAAUAACUGCUCUCGCCUUUCCCUUACACCUGGUGGGUGUCAAAACCUACCUGUAGGAGUCAGGCGAUGCUAGUAUAGGCUGAAUGGUGAAGAUAAAGUCAAGCUUAAUUUUGUUCUUUGUCGGUUUGAAAUUAAUUUCUAACCAACCAGUAAUGAAAGAACAAAAACAAAUAGGAAAUAUUCUAAUUUUAAUAUAAACAGAGAUAGAAUCUUAUCCGUGACAAAGAGAAAUGCCGGAAGGAGGGGUGAAAUCUUUAGAAUUCUGUGUGGAAGACUCUGGGCGAAAGCUAUAUGUCUAGAAAAGAUUGACGCUAAAGAACGUAGGUUGGGAUAAGAAAAAAGGAUUAGAUACCCAAGUAUUCCCAUCUGUUAACGAUGAAUAGUAGUCCUUCAGUUUAU